GACGAACGCUGGCGGCGUGCUUAACACAUGCAAGUCGAACGGAAAGGCCCCUUUGGGGGUACUCGAGUGGCGAACGGGUGAGUAACACGUGAGUAACCUGCCCUUGACUUCGGGAUAACUUCAGGAAACUGGGGCUAAUACCGGAUAGGAAUCCUUGCUGCAUGGUGGGGGUUGGAAAGCUUCGGCGGUUUUGGAUGGACUCGCGGCUUAUCAGCUUGUUGGUGGGGUAGUGGCUUACCAAGGCUUUGACGGGUAGCCGGCCUGAGAGGGCGACCGGCCACAUUGGGCCUGAGAUACGGCCCAGACUCCUAGGGGGGGAAGCGGGGGGGAAUAUUGAACAAUGGGCGGAAGCCGGAUGCAGAAAGGCGGCGUGGGGAUGACGGCCUUCGGGUUGUAAACCGCUUUCAGCAGGGGCGAAGCUUGUGGUGACGGUACCUGCAGAAGAAGCACCGGCCAACUACGUG
rnacentral:rRNA from 1 species